CAAUUGCGUAUAUUAAAGUUGUUGCAGUUAAAAAGCUCGUAGUUGGAUUUCGGGGUGGCCUGCCUGGUCCACCGCAAGGUGAGUACUGGUCAGCCGCCCUUCCUCUCGAAAGCCCCGACUGCUCUUCAUUGCAGUGGUCGGGUAGUUCGGGACGUUUACUUUGAAAAAAUUAGAGUGUUCAAGGCAGGCUCUCGCCUGAAUACAUUAGCAUGGAAUAAUGGAAGAGGACCUCGGUCCUAUUUUGUUGGUUUCUAGGGCCGAAGUAAUGAUUAAGAGGGACAGUUGGGGGCAUUCGUAUUUAAUUGUCAGAGGUGAAAUUCUUGGAUUUAUGAAAGACGAACUAGUGCGAAAGCAUUCGCCAAGGAUGUUUUCAUUAA
rnacentral:rRNA from 1 species